UACGGAGGAGGCAAGCGUUAUCCGGAAUUAUUGGGCGUAAAGCGUCCGUAGGUGGCUCUUCAAGUCUGCUGUCAAAGAGUGGGGCUUAACCCUGCAAAGGCAGUGGAAACUGAAAGGCUAGAGAGCCGUAGGGGUAGAGGGAAUUCCCGGUGUAGCGGUGAAAUGCGUAGAGAUCGGGAAGAACACCAGUGGCGAAAGCGCUCUACUGGGCCACAACUGACACUGAUGGACGAAAGCUAGGGGAGCGAAUGGG
rnacentral:rRNA from 1 species